rnacentral:ncRNA from 1 species
AUUUAUACAAUGACGAAGAGAGUAGAUAUAUAUUUUUAUAUAAGGGAUGAAGAGCCAAAGACUGAAAGCUGUUCUUAUAGGAUUAUAUCGAAGUUCACUUCUGAGUACUAAUUAUGAAGUAAUAGUAGUAAUUAGCGGCUAUGGUCGAUAGAUUUACUAAGAGGAGUUUUAAUAAAACUCAAUUAGGGUGGUACCGCGGAUUUUCCGUCCCUUUU